AUUUCAUCUUCAUCCAAAACCAUAUGAGAAUUUCACGCAAGAUAUACAAACAUGUGUCACACAAGCUUGCACAAUGAGCCAACAGAGAAGAAAAAUAUCAAUCAAAUUGAAAAUGCCAUAGAAAAAUCCAGAAAAAUUCAUAUAACAUUUCAACAUAUCCACAAUCAUCCAUGAAAAAUUUCAAUCCAAUCCAACAUCUCUAAGUCAUGCAAA
rnacentral:lncRNA from 1 species